AACGAACGCUGGCGGCGUGCCUAAAACAUGCAAGUCGAACGAGAAAGCUCCUUAGGGAGUGAGUAAAGUGGCGCACGGGUGAGUAACACGUGGAUAAUCUACCUAAAAGACCGGAAUAACAUGUCGAAAGAUGUGCUAAUACCGGAUAAGCUCACAGAUAUACUUUAUCAGGGAGAAAAGAUGGCCUCUAUUUAUAAGCUAUUACUUUUAGAUGAGUCCGCGUCCCAUUAGCUAGUUGGCAGGGUAAAGGCCUACCAAGGCUACGAUGGGUAGCUGGUCUGAGAGGACGAUCAGCCACACUGGAACUGGAACACGGUCCAGACUCCUACGGGAGGCAGCAGUUAGGAAUAUUGCGCAAUGGGCGAAAGCCUGACGCAGCGACGUCGCGUGUGCGAAGAAGGCCUUAGGGUUGUAAAGCACUGUCACAUGGGAAGAACAAAGCAGAGGGGAAAGUUCUCUGCUCCUGACGGUACCAUGAGAGGAAGCACCGGCUAACUCCGUGCCAGCAGCCGCAGUAAUACGGAGGGUGCAAGCGUUGUUCGGAUUUAUUGGGCGUAAAGAGCGUGUAGGCGGUAUUGUAAGUCUGAUGUGAAAUCCCCGAGCUCAACUUGGGAACUGCAUUGGAUACUGCUUUACUAGAGUGUCGGAGAGGGUACUGGAAUUCCUGGUGUAGAGGUGAAAUUCGUAGAUAUCAGGAAGAACACCGGUGGCGAAGGCGGGUACCUGGACGAUUACUGACGCUGAGACGCGAAGCGUGGGGAGCAAACAGGAUUAGAUACCCUGGUAGUCCACGCUGUAAACGAUGAGUGCUAGAUGUUGCGGGAAUUAACCCCUGCAGUAUCGCAGCUAACGCGUUAAGCACUCCGCCUGGGGAGUACGGCCGCAAGGCUAAAACUCAAAGGAAUUGACGGGGGUCCGCACAAGCGGUGGAUUAUGUGGUUCAAUUCGAAGCAACGCGCAGAACCUUACCUGGGUUUGACAUCCUUCGACCGAUAUAGAAAUAUAUUUUCUGUAGAAAUACAGCGGAGUGACAGGUGCUGCAUGGCUGUCGUCAGCUCGUGUUGUGAAAUGUUGGGUUAAGUCCCGCAACGAGCGCAACCCUUGCCUCUAGUUACCAGCAUUAAGUUGGGUACUCUAGAGGGACUGCCUGCGUUAAGCAGGAUGAAGGUGGGGAUGACGUCAAGUCCUCAUGGCCUUUAUGCCCAGGGCUGCACACGUAAUACAAUGGUCGGUACAAUCGGUAGCAAGACCGCGAGGUUAAGCCAAUCCUAAAAAGCCGAUCUCAGUCCGGAUUGGAGUCUGCAAUUCGACUCCAUGAAGUCGGAAUCGCUAGUAAUCGCGCAUCAGCCAUGGCGCGGUGAAUACGUUCCCGGGCCUUGUACACACCGCCCGUCAAGCCAUGGAAGUUGGGGGUGCCUGAAGUCCGUAACCGCAAGGAGCGGCCUAGGGUAAAACCAGUGACUGGGGCUA
rnacentral:rRNA from 1 species